AGCCCUCGAACUAUAACAGAUUACAGUAGGCUUGUAAACCAGAAAUCUUAUACGCAUUUCCAACCGCA
rnacentral:tRNA from 1 species